rnacentral:rRNA from 1 species
UAGCGUAUAUUAAAGUUGUUGCAGUUAGAACGCUCGUAGUCGGAUUUCGGGGUGGGUCGAUCGGUCUGCCGAUGGGUACGCACUGGCCGACGCGCUCUUCCUUCCGGAGACCGUCUCACUCUUAACUGAGCGGAGGCGGGAGACGGAACGUUUACUUUGAAAAAAUCAGAGUGUUUCAAGCAGGCAGCUCGCUUUUGCAUGGAUUAGCAUGGGAUAAUGAAAUAGGACUUUGGUGCUAUUUUGUUGGUUUCGAACACCGAAGUAAUGAUGAGAAGGGACAGUCAGGGGCACUCGUAUUCCGCCGAGAGAGGUGAAAUUCUCAGACCAGCGGAAGACGAACCACUGCGAAAGCAUUUG